AAGCAAAAGGAAAACAGGUAAGAUUAAUGGUGGGGGCGGAGUGAGGAGCACAAGAAGCCGGGGGUGCCAACUUGAAUAAAAUAUUGGGGGGGGGCAAGCCCCGCCCCGCAUAAUUCCUCACUCUCCCCUUGUCCGCAGGCUUCCCCGAGGCUCCGCCCCCAGAAGCCGCGGGAAGGCUCGCUGGGUGCGGAGCGAGGGCACCCCAGGGUGCCGGGUCGGGGCAGAAGAAAGCCGUCAGGCAUCUCGCGUCGCCAUGGAGAGAUCUCAAGCCGGAGUCCCUUGCAGCCUCCUCGUGAGGAGAGACCAACAGAGACCAGAUCCAAAACGGUAAGAGAAGAGCAGCUCUUUGUCCGCGAGAGCGCGGCUGGCUGGCGAGUCGGGGGCUGCAGCGCCCGGGGAGGGAGGGGGGCAGAGAGAAGGCGCGCACCUCCCUCGGGCGAGCGGGCGGGGAUGAGCAUCUCUGAAUGGAUGCUCUGUGCCGGGAAAGGCGGGGGGGGACCCCUUUGUGUGGGCGACAGAUUAGAUCAAGCGCCACGUGCGCUGGGAGCCCCAUAUUUCCCCGAUGGGAUCAUCCCGCAAUCUGCCCCUCGUGACCAUCCGCGGACGCAGCUGCCUGGUGUCUCCAUGCAGACAAAUGGUGGGCAUUUCCGGAGCCAAACGCCCCCCCCCCGCUGAAAAAAGCUUUUGUUCCAGUUUCGGCCCUCGAUUCUGUCUGCCUUCUUAAUUGGGGCGAGGGGGGGCAUCCCAUCCAGCAGAGUUGGCUCAUCCCGGCUGACAGCGGCUCCUCCUUUGCCCCCGAACUGUUAGCCCAGUCGCUGAAGAAGUAGCCAAGAAGCGCGCGGUGCGCCUUUCUUCGUCCCCGCUCCCAGUCCACUGCCAAAUCACAGGUUGUGGCUAAGUAUAGUAACCACAAAUGUACAUCCUGGGUUGAUCUGCAUGGCUUUUGGGGAACGUUUUUUGAAGAGCCCUGUGCAGUCAAUCACCCUUUGCAUUCACUCAUUUCUGUGGUCACUGGGAAGAAUUCAGUGCAUUACACUAGCCUGGUGCGCUGAAAGGAAGGGAAGAUCAGUAGCUUCAGAUUGUAGAAGCAGACAAAAAACGGAGUGAUUCCUUCCUUUACUUUAGUGAAAAGGAUUGGAGCUGAUCUGCAAUUACUGAAGGAGGGAGAGAGAGAGAUUAGAGGAGAAUGAUUUGUUCCUCAAGGCCAAGGAAGUUAAUCAGCUCCAGUUGCAGUGUAUGGGGAGGGGCUGGGUCUUUCUCUGAAGCACCGGCUGGAAGAAGAGAUGGGGGGAGGGGAAGUGGCCUUUUCCCCCAGUCCCCGGAGGGUUGCCCUCUGCCCAGCCUUGGCUGGAUGGAGUUAGCUGCUCUGAGUUAGGGCAAGGAUCACAGGACAAUUAAUGAGCUCUGCUGCUGGCUGCUAAUCAGAAACAGAUCAAGGCCUCACACCUGACCCCAGCCAGGGAGAGAGCAGAGUGGAGCUCAGCCAGCACAAAGCUGCAAAAAGGAGUGCGUACUCUUUCCUGGAGAGCAUCCUGUAGCAGGAGGGAAGCAGUGGAAAUCUGGCUCUGACUCAGGACAGUUGGCCAGGAAGGUUCUGUCUGUGACACAUUGUCCUGCAAGUUGCUUCUGCUCAUAGGGAUCCUGUGACAGAUCCCGGAUGGCCCAAAUGGUACCUCGUAUUUAGCCAUGUAACAAUGAACCAAAGUCUACAAAGAGAGACACAGAAAAGGCAAGCAGUGAAAUAAGUUUUGUGAACAGUGUGAACUGCUCUAUUGUCAAGAAUAUGUUUUGAGAGGAGUCUCUGUUGGAGAAAUACCAGACAACAGCUUAACAAGCCAAAGUUUUCGAGCAGCCUGUGGAAGAGCAGGAGGGAAGGGCAUAAAAAAUUGUGAGGAGAGGAUGGAAAAUCUGAAGAUCUGUCAGCAUGCCUGCUUUAAGGUCAGGAUGAGUGGGACUAAGAGAAGCAAAGUGAACUGCAUUUAUAUUGACUAUUGACUUUAAUCCAUUUUUAUUUACUUUUGACCUUAUUUAUCCAUCCUGUUUUAUUAAUAGGGAAGAGAAUGCACUCUUGUAAUAAAAAGGUGAAAAACAAGAACAAUCCCUGUUGUUAUUUGUCAAGGGAAGGCUCUGAUACAGAGGCAGCUCUCUUGAGAAUAACGGCCUUCUCACCCCCAGGAAAUUCAAGGCAGGUAAUGCUGCUGGCCUCCCACAUUCAAGGGAAGGUAGAGGCAGGACAUCUGAUCACUGACAACCUUCCUGGAAGCCUUUCAGCUGAAUCCUCUGUGUGUUUACUGAGAACUAGCGCACAGAAUCAGAUUUGUAGAGUUGGAAGGGAUCCUAAGGGUCAUCUAUCCAAGAGUCAUUUAUCCAACCCCCUGCAAUGCAGGAAUCUCAGGCAGAUGACCACCCUACUCAUGAAGCAACCAAAAACCAAAUGAAAAUGUAUGCUAAGCCAAGCAUGGGCAGUCUAUAAAACAAAGAAGCAAAGCACAACAGGCCAUUAGCAACAAGCGGCA